rnacentral:misc_RNA from 1 species
GUAAUCAGUUGUGCCGACGGAGAAUAGUUGGGGAGAACACCAGCAGUAUAUACAGUGACAGGAUAUAGUUUGUCAAUGGAGUAUGACAAUGAAGAACAUGGUUUUAUUAGUGUUCCGGCUCCUGAGUUUGGUGCAAUUUUUAUGUCAAACAUUGCAACAAAGAGAGAGUGCUUUAAGCAUAGUGUCUUUGGCCUUCCAUUGUCCAUGGGUAAUUUUGUGAAGGAGGUCAAAAAAGGAAUGAUCCUGUUCCUAUUUGAAUAUGAAAGGAGACAGCUUUUUGGAGUGUAUCGGGCUAUCUCAGACGGCGGAAUGAACAUUGUACCCCAUGCAUUUAGUUCUUCUGGGAAGCAGUUCUCUGCACAGGUCCAAUUUGAGCUGAUUUGGCGUUGUAGUCCACUAUCUGAAGAUGAGUUCUGUGAUGCCAUUAGGGAGAACUACUUUUCAGCAAGGAAGUUCCACUUUGGUCUGUCUGAUGAGCAGGUUCAUAGGCUUCUUAGAUUGUUUAGUUCAAGAAAGUUAAAGAAUAAGUUACCCCCGAGAAAGCUCACAACUGGAGUGAGCAAUGGAAUUGAUAAAGACCUUAUAAUGG